rnacentral:rRNA from 1 species
UACGUAGGGUGCAAGCGUUGUCCGGAAUUAUUGGGCGUAAAGAGCUCGUAGGCGGUUUGUCGCGUCUGCUGUGAAAACCCGAGGCUCAACCUCGGGCCUGCAGUGGGUACGGGCAGACUAGAGUGCGGUAGGGGAGAUUGGAAUUCCUGGUGUAGCGGUGGAAUGCGCAGAUAUCAGGAGGAACACCAGUGGCGAAGGCG